GCGUCUGUGGCUCAAAGGAGUAGGGCACUGGCCCCAUAUGCCAGAAGUGGCGGGUUCAAACCCAGCCCAGACCA
rfam:Otolemur garnettii contig026408, whole genome shotgun sequence.